AGAUUCUACAACUAGGAAUGGGUGAUGCCUUAGAUGAUUGGUUGAUAGAGAAAAUCCAGCUUCUGCGUACUGGUUCAGUGGUUGCUUCAGGGAUCAAGCGGGUGGAACAGAUACUUUGGCCUGAUGGGAUAUUCAUUACCAAACAUCCAAAGAGACGGCCACCAUCCACCUCCAACUCAUCCCAUAGCUCACCUCAUGGCCAGCAACCCAUCAAUGAGUCUUCACCUAAACUAAGUUCACCUCUAGGUCGGCAACACACAGAAAUAUCUUCACCUAGACUAAGUGAUGAGCAACUAAAACAUGAAGCAGACCGACGUGCUAAAUUUGUAUAUGAGCUGAUGAUUGAUAAUGCACCAGCCG
rnacentral:misc_RNA from 1 species